rnacentral:rRNA from 1 species
UACGUAGGGUGCAAGCGUUGUCCGGAAUUAUUGGGCGUAAAGAGCUCGUAGGCGGCUCGUUGCGUCAACCGUGAAAACCCGGGGCUUAACUUCGGGCUUGCGGUUGAUACGGGCGGGCUGGAGUUCGGUAGGGGAGACGUGGAAUUCCUGGUGUAGCGGUGAAAUGCGCAGAUAUCAGGAAGAACACCUAUGGCGAAGGCAGCUCUCUGGGACGGUACUGACGCUGAGACGCGAAAGCGUGGGGAGCGAACAGG